UGGGGAAUAUUGGACAAUGGGCGAAAGCCUGAUCCAGCCAUGCCGCGUGAGUGAUGAAGGCCUUAGGGUUGUAAAGCUCUUUUAGUAGGGAAGAUAAUGACGGUACCUACAGAAAAAGCCCCGGCUAACUUCGUGCCAGCAGCCGCGGUAAUACGAAGGGGGCUAGCGUUGUUCGGAUUUACUGGGCGUAAAGCGCACGUAGGCGGAUCGUUAAGUCGGGGGUGAAAUCCUGGAGCUCAAAUCCAGAACUGCCUUCGAUACUGGCGAUCUUGAGUCCGGAAGAGGUGAGUGGAACUCCUAGUGUAGAGGUGGAAUUCGUAGAUAUUAGGAAGAACACCAGUGGCGAAGGCGGCUCACUGGUCCGGUACUGACGCUGAGGUGCGAAAGCGUGGGGAGCAAACA
rnacentral:rRNA from 1 species